GUGUUUGCUUUGACAGCACAUAUACUAGAAGUGGAACGGUGCAGAGGAUAUUAUCAUGGCCCCCAUGCAAGGGGGACAUGCAAAUUUGUGAAGUGUCCCACAUUUAA